AUUUGUGGUGACCUUAGCAGGAACAAAAUGCUGUUUUCCACUCAUCUCCCUUAUGCAGGGCCAGAUUAACAGCCCUGGUGCUGACAAUUAUGAUGGGCCUAAUUACAGAACCGUAUCGACCAAAAAACACUAAAACACUCCCAAGUGUCAUGUAUCUGAUGGAGAUGGUGCUUGAGGGAAAAAAACAGCAGCUAUAAGAAAAC